UUGAACUCUGCCUGUAGCCAGGAAA
rnacentral:piRNA from 1 species